CACAGUGCCUCCCUGGCAUCUGAGGUGGUUUUCUGAGAGAACACGAGCUCCUACUUAGUGGAUUCUCAGGGGACAUCUGUGGGAGGAGCUUUCCAUAGCAAAUAUGUACACUCUCACCAUCCCCACAGCGCAAAUGCCACACGACUGUGUACAAUCUGGUGCAAACCAAGAAUGUGGAAGGGCGACUUAAGGAAGUCUUAAGGAAAACUCAUGACCACACAAGUUGUCCAGAACACUGAAUGAGCAGUGUCUGUUUGCUCCACCCUUGCCAAGGAUCUCAGAAGGCUGCCAGGUGGGAGGUGGCUGGAGAAUGGACCAUAUUUCACCUCCUCUAUGUGGAGCUCAUGUCCAGUGCCAAGGCGUCCGAAGACUUAGAUUUCCUGGGCACCGAAACACAGCCAAACCAGUCUUCCCAGGACUUGAUUACUAACAGACUGUCGCCAACAUUGGCCUUUCCUGCUUUGAUCAGUCUUUUGUACCACCUGUCUUUUCUCCCACAAGCCAAGAGGAAGUUGCCAGGAGAGGUUAAACGACUUCCUAAAGCUGGACUGGCAAUCCUGACCUCCAACAUAAUAAUGUCUCAGCAGAACACUACUGAGUUGUCGUGUGGCUUUUCAAUGAUAAGGUGUGUGAUCCUGGCCGCAAAACUAAGAAAACUCUCAUUAAAGAACUGCUAUUUGAUCAAAGGAACCAAAGGCUCAAGUGAGGAAUCACCUUUUAAACGGCAGCUUCUCCUUGAUGUAAUUUGCGGGAGCGCUGCCAAGCAUUUAGGGCACAGAAACCAGCGAGCAGAGGCAGCAGCGUGCUGUUUUCCCUACAACUCCGGAGAUAAUUGUCCAUGCUGA
rnacentral:lncRNA from 1 species